GCACGUGUGAUUUUCGUAAUGACACAGAAUAGCCCAAUCAACGGGAAGGAGAAAGUGAAAACAUAAAUUUCGAGCUGUGAUGUCAUGGGUGAUACCAGUUUGAGCCAACCGCGAAUUAAGAAUCUCAGUAGAAAGGAAAAACCUUGCCUUACCUUUACAACUUCGCUUUCUCCAUGCGUUAUGAGUUUCCACAAUCAUUUCGGUUUCGCGCUGUUGUGUUGGCUCGUUAGUUAUCCGUCCAGCAUGUGUUUUAUUUCUAGUUUUUGCUGUGAUUCUACGAACAAAAUUAUUCGUUUGUAAAGAUGACUGUUGGAGCCUCGAAGAGCAAUAAUACAGGUGUCGGAGACUUGGCGGAGCUCAUUAAGGAAGAAAGCAUCGUCAACAGCUUCUACAUCGAAGGUCUCAUUGGCAUCUUGAUCUGCAGCUUCGUGUUGCUGGCCAUUAUUGCUGUUCUGUUAUACUACGUCAUACCAUGGCGGAAAUAAAGCAACCGACUAAGAAAAGUCAAAAUGUGCCGAUGUCACGUUCUACCUACUACUAGCCUUCUGAUGUUGAGUAGGACUACACUUCAUGUACAUAUUCAUAACUUCAUAUUAGUUUUGUUGAAUGUAGCCAAUUAGUAAAUUGGCAAGAAGCAAUGGCAUCCGAAGGAACAAAUCUGAUUUUCACUUGAAGACAGCGUUAUAAUUAACAAUUAUGCUAAUAUAUAACUGGAAUGAUUUAUUUAGACAACUUCAAACUUGAUGCAAUGUAAUCUGUUAUGAGAAUGUUAUGUAAAAGUUGAAUUGAGGCACCAAGAAACGAAGGAGUGUAAAUGAAAAAAAAUGAAAGUGAAAAAGCAUUUACUUUCAGCAAGUGACGUGCUUUCUAUAUCGCAACUGUGAGAAAUCCCAACGACAUAAGGGCUCAGAAAGGGAUCCAAAGUAUGCACUUGGAAUAAAUUGUUUUAUCUAUAUAGUCUUGUAACUAGAAUCGGCGUGUCAUGUUCAAAUAACUUCCCAGUCUCCACCAUUUUCCCUUUCUAGUCAGUGGGAACAUUUCCCCCCACGCUGCUUCUGCAAUACAUAACAUUUGCUGAAGUAACGUGGAGAAAAGUUCCUAGUCUAGUGUCUUAACCAUGACAAUCAGAAGAAAAAAAGCGUGGAGAGUGGAGAAGUUAUUUGACCUUGACACGGCGAUUCUCAUUACUUAGACUAUAAUUUAAUUGAUCUGUAUUUUUGCAUUGUGUAUUUUUUGCUUCUAGUCCCUUUCACUCCCUUGCUUCUGGUUGCAUCAAUUCUCUUUUUUUUUUUUUUUUUUUGCUUUUAAAAUAUGCACAUAACGGAAAUGAUAAAUUUAUCACACACAUACAAAAGCUAAUUCAGAUAAUCUUCACAUUUCGUCAUUUGAAUUUAAAGAGACGUGGUCAUGACAACUAUGAUGUUCAAUAACGUAACAUGUGUCAAGGUAAAAAUUGUUAUUUUCAGUCUAAUUAAUUCGUUCGACUAAAGUCACGUAACCUGAUCAUUCCUCUCUUAAUUUUCUACUUUACAUUAUUCGAAAACAUCGACAAUAAAUCAUGAAGCAUGUAUUCAUUUUUUUUUUGUUAUAUUUCCUCAUGGUUUAAAAUUUACCUUUGAAAAGCAGUUGAGUCGAUGGCUAAGAUUAUUUGAUUUUUAAAGUGUGUUAGAAACUAAGAAAACAUUAUCCAAAACAGUUUCCUUCAACCGUUUGAAGCACAGGACAUAAAAACACUUUUUCUUGUGUGCUGAACUGAGAGCCUAUAGAUUCAAUUGAAGCCACUAUGCCUCAGAAGUUUAAGCUAUUUAAUUUGUGUUGUUUAUUUUUCGUUACUAAUUUCAUAUUUAAGCUUUGCUCUAUUUGUUAGCGUAAGACUUUAUCUUCUCUACUUUGGAAUAAACAAAUAACGUCUUAUGUCUUACAUUUUUCGCGUUGUUGCUUUGCAGUUAUUUUGAUUCAUUGCAAGAGCCAUUUGUAAUAUUUUGUACCUAAUUGGCCACUUAAGUGUAUUUUGUUAUUCAUUGCAAAAACAACUGAAGUGUAAUUAAAGCACGGCCUGUUAUACUUUUUCCUUGAGGGGAUAGCAGUUUACAUUUUCUGCUUAUACUUCCUGAAAGUGAAGUAAGUCACUUGAAUAUAUUUUUUCAUCUUUUCAAAACUAUGUAAUGUAAUAAAAACAAUGCAGCCUUUUUUUUCUUGAUAAAAAUGCAGUUUACCUUUUUUACGUCCCCUUCUAUGGACGUACAGGACUAUUUUGUACAUAGAUGUGUAUAUAUUUUUUUGUCGAUUUUUCAAUUCAUAUUGUUAUGGUUUUGUAAGUAUUUGACAGCAAUAAAUAUGCGUUUGAU